rnacentral:rRNA from 1 species
UAAGUUAGAAAGGGCGCACGGUGGAUGCCUUGACACUAGGAGUCGAUGAAGGACGGGACUAACGCCGAUAUGCUUCGGGGAGCUGUAAGUAAGCUUUGAUCCGAAGAUUUCCGAAUGGGGAAACCCACCAUACGUAAUGGUAUGGUAUCCUUAUCUGAAUACAUAGGGUAAGGAAGACAGACCCAGGGAACUGAAACAUCUAAGUACCUGGAGGAAGAGAAAGCAAAUGCGAUUUCCUGAGUAGCGGCGAGCGAAACGGAACAUAGCCCAAACCAAGAGGCUUGCCUCUUGGGGUUGUAGGACAUUCUAUACGGAGUUACAAAGGAACGAGGUAGACGAAGCGACCUGGAAAGGUCCGUCGUAGAGGGUAACAACCCCGUAGUCGAAACUUCGUUCUCUCUUGAAUGUAUCCUGAGUACGGCGGAACACGUGAAAUUCCGUCGGAAUCUGGGAGGACCAUCUCCCAAGGCUAAAUACUCCCUAGUGAUCGAUAGUGAACCAGUACCGUGAGGGAAAGGUGAAAAGCACCCCGGAAGGGGAGUGAAAGAGAUCCUGAAACCGUGUGCCUACAAAUAGUCAGAGCCCGUUAACGGGUGAUGGCGUGCCUUUUGUAGAAUGAACCGGCGAGUUACGAUCCCGUGCGAGGUUAAGCUGAAGAGGCGGAGCCGCAGCGAAAGCGAGUCUGAAUAGGGCGUUUAGUACGUGGUCGUAGACCCGAAACCAGGUGAUCUACCCAUGUCCAGGGUGAAGUUCAGGUAACACUGAAUGGAGGCCCGAACCCACGCACGUUGAAAAGUGCGGGGAUGAGGUGUGGGUAGCGGAGAAAUUCCAAUCGAACCUGGAGAUAGCUGGUUCUCCCCGAAAUAGCUUUAGGGCUAGCCUUAAGUGUAAGAGUCUUGGAGGUAGAGCACUGAUUGGACUUAGGGGUCCUCAUCGGAUUACCGAAUUCAGUCAAACUCCGAAUGCCAAUGACUUAUCCUUAGGAGUCAGACUGCGAGUGAUAAGAUCCGUAGUCAAAAGGGAAACAGCCCAGACCGCCAGCUAAGGUCCCAAAGUGUGUAUUAAGUGGAAAAGGAUGUGGAGUUGCUUAGACAACUAGGAUGUUGGCUUAGAAGCAGCCACCAUUUAAAGAGUGCGUAAUAGCUCACUAGUCGAGUGACUCUGCGCCGAAAAUGUACCGGGGCUAAAUACACCACCGAAGCUGCGGAUUGAUACCAAUGGUAUCAGUGGUAGGGGAGCGUUCUAAGGACAGUGAAGUCAGACCGGAAGGACUGGUGGAGUGCUUAGAAGUGAGAAUGCCGGUAUGAGUAGCGAAAGACGGGUGAGAAUCCCGUCCACCGAAUGCCUAAGGUUUCCUGAGGAAGGCUCGUCCGCUCAGGGUUAGUCAGGACCUAAGCCGAGGCCGACAGGCGUAGGCGAUGGACAACAGGUUGAUAUUCCUGUACCACCUCUUUAUCGUUUGAGCAAUGGAGGGACGCAGAAGGAUAGAAGAAGCGUGCGAUUGGUUGUGCACGUCCAAGCAGUUAGGCUGAUAAGUAGGCAAAUCCGCUUAUCGUGAAGGCUGAGCUGUGAUGGGGAAGCUCCUUAUGGAGCGAAGUCUUUGAUUCCCCGCUGCCGAGAAAAGCUUCUAGCGAGAUAAAAGGUGCCUGUACCGCAAACCGACACAGGUAGGCGAGGAGAGAAUCCUAAGGUGUGCGAGAGAACUCUGGUUAAGGAACUCGGCAAAAUGACCCCGUAACUUCGGGAGAAGGGGUGCUUUCUUAACGGAAAGCCGCAGUGAAUAGGCCCAAGCGACUGUUUAGCAAAAACACAGCUCUCUGCGAAGCCGUAAGGCGAAGUAUAGGGGGUGACACCUGCCCGGUGCUGGAAGGUUAAGGAGAGGGGUUAGCGUAAGCGAAGCUCUGAACUGAAGCCCCAGUAAACGGCGGCCGUAACUAUAACGGUCCUAAGGUAGCGAAAUUCCUUGUCGGGUAAGUUCCGACCCGCACGAAAGGUGUAACGAUUUGGGCACUGUCUCAACCAGAGACUCGGUGAAAUUAUAGUACCUGUGAAGAUGCAGGUUACCCGCGACAGGACGGAAAGACCCCGUGGAGCUUUACUGUAGCCUGAUAUUGAAUUUUGGUACAGUUUGUACAGGAUAGGCGGGAGCCUUUGAAACCGGAGCGCUAGCUUCGGUGGAGGCGCUGGUGGGAUACCGCCCUGACUGUAUUGAAAUUCUAACCUACGGGUCUUAUCGACCCGGGAGACAGUGUCAGGUGGGCAGUUUGACUGGGGCGGUCGCCUCCUAAAGUGUAACGGAGGCGCCCAAAGGUUCCCUCAGAAUGGUUGGAAAUCAUUCGUAGAGUGCAAAGGCAUAAGGGAGCUUGACUGCGAGACCUACAAGUCGAGCAGGGACGAAAGUCGGGCUUAGUGAUCCGGUGGUUCCGCAUGGAAGGGCCAUCGCUCAACGGAUAAAAGCUACCCCGGGGAUAACAGGCUUAUCUCCCCCAAGAGUCCACAUCGACGGGGAGGUUUGGCACCUCGAUGUCGGCUCAUCGCAUCCUGGGGCUGUAGUCGGUCCCAAGGGUUGGGCUGUUCGCCCAUUAAAGCGGUACGCGAGCUGGGUUCAGAACGUCGUGAGACAGUUCGGUCCCUAUCCGUCGUGGGCGUAGGAAAUUUGAGAGGAGCUGUCCUUAGUACGAGAGGACCGGGAUGGACGCACCGCUGGUGUACCAGUUGUUCUGCCAAGGGCAUAGCUGGGUAGCUAUGUGCGGAAGGGAUAAGUGCUGAAAGCAUCUAAGCAUGAAGCCCCCCUCAAGAUGAGAUUUCCCAUAGCGUAAGCUAGUAAGAUCCCUGAAAGAUGAUCAGGUUGAUAGGUUCGAGGUGGAAGCAUGGUGACAUGUGGAGCUGACGAAUACUAAUAGAUCGAGGACUUAACCA